AACUUAGCAGAGAUGCUUUGGUGCCUUCGGGAACUCUGAGACAGGUGCUGCAUGGCUGUCGUCAGCUCGUGUUGUGAAAUGUUGGGUUAAGUCCGCAACGAGCGCAACCCUUAUCCUUUGUUGCCAGCGGUUCGGCCGGGAACUCAAAGGAGACUGCCGGUGAUAAACCGGAGGAAGGUGGGGAUGACGUCAAGUCAUCAUGGCCCUUACGGCCAGGGCUACACACGUGCUACAAUGGCGCAUACAAAGAGAAGCGACCUCGCGAGAGCAAGCGGACCUCAUAAAGUGCGUCGUAGUCCGGAUUGGAGUCUGCAACUCGACUCCAUGAAGUCGGAAUCGCUAGUAAUCGUAGAUCAGAAUGCUACGGUGAAUACGUUCCCGGGCCUUGUACACACCGCCCGUCACACCAUGGGAGUGGGUUGCAAAAGAAGUAGGUAGCUUAACCUUCGGGAGGGCGCUUACCACUUUGUGAUUCAUGACUGGGGUGAAGUCGUAACAAGGUAGGCGUAGACGU
rnacentral:rRNA from 1 species